rnacentral:rRNA from 1 species
GGCUAUGGCCACACUACCCUGAACAAGCCCGAUCCCAUCUGAUCUCAGAAACUAAGCAGGGUCAGGCCUGGUUAGUACUUGGAUGGGAGACUACCUAGGAAGACUAGAUGCUGUAGGUG